rnacentral:rRNA from 1 species
GACGAACGCUGGCGGCGUGCUUAACACAUGCAAGUCGAACGAAGAGCGAUGGAAGCUUGCUUCUAUCAAUCUUAGUGGCGAACGGGUGAGUAACGCGUAAUCAACCUGCCCUUCAGAGGGGGACAACAGUUGGAAACGACUGCUAAUACCGCAUACGAUCUAAUCUCGGCAUCGAGGAUAGAUGAAAGGUGGCCUCUACAUGUAAGCUAUCACUGAAGGAGGGGAUUGCGUCUGAUUAGCUAGUUGGAGGGGUAACGGCCCACCAAGGCGAUGAUCAGUAGCCGGUCUGAGAGGAUGAACGGCCACAUUGGGACUGAGACACGGCCCAGACUCCUACGGGAGGCAGCAGUGGGGAAUCUUCCGCAAUGGACGAAAGUCUGACGGAGCAACGCCGCGUGAGUGAUGACGGCCUUCGGGUUGUAAAGCUCUGUUAAUCGGGACGAAAGGCCUUCUUGCGAAUAAGUGAGAAAGGAAUGACGGAACCGGA